rnacentral:rRNA from 1 species
AACGAACGCUGGCGGCAGGCUUAACACAUGCAAGUCGAACGGGCGUAGCAAUACGUCAGUGGCAGACGGGUGAGUAACACGUGGGAACCUUCCUAGGGGUACGGAACAACUCAGGGAAACUUGAGCUAAUACCGUAUACGUCCGUGAGGAGAAAGAUUUAUCGCCCUUAGACGGGCCCGCGUCGGAUUAGGUAGUUGGUGGGGUAACGGCCUACCAAGCCUACGAUCCGUAGCUGAUCUGAGAGGANGAUCAGCCACACUGGGACUGAGACACGGCCCAGACUCCUACGGGAGGCAGCAGUGGGGAAUCUUGGACAAUGGGCGCAAGCCUGAUCCAGCCAUGCCGCGUGAGUGAAGAAGGCCUUAGGGUUGUAAAGCUCUUUUACCAGGGACGAUAAUGACGGUA